GACGAACGCUGGCGGCGUGCUUAACACAUGCAAGUCGAGCGGUAAGGCCCUUUCGGGGGUACACGAGCGGCGAACGGGUGAGUAACACGUGGGUGACCUGCCCUCAGCUCUGGGAUAAGCCUGGGAAACCGGGUCUAAUACUGGAUAUGACUCCAUGACGCAUGUUGUGGGGUGGAAAGCCUUGUGCGGCUGAGGAUGGGCCCGCGGCCUAUCAGCUUGUUGGUGGGGUGAGGCCUACCAAGGCGACGACGGGUAGCCGGCCUGAGAGGGCGACCGGCCACACUGGGACUGAGACACGGCCCAGACUCCUACGGGAGGCAGCAGUGGGGAAGUCUUGCGCAAUGGGCGAAAGCCUGACGCAGCGACGCCGCGUGAGGGAUGACGGCCUG
rnacentral:rRNA from 1 species